rnacentral:rRNA from 1 species
CCUACGGGCGGCAGCAGUGGGGAAUAUUGCGCAAUGGGCGAAAGCCUGACGCAGCGACGCCGCGUGAGGGAUGAAGGUCUUCGGAUCGUAAACCUCUGUCAGCAGGGAAGAACGGUCACUGUGCUAAUCAGCAGUGAAUUGACGGUACCUGCAAAGGAAGCACCGGCUAACUCCGUGCCAGCAGCCGCGGUAAUACGGCGGGUGCGAGCGUUAAUCGGAAUUACUGGGCGUAAAGCGAUCGUAGGCGGUAUGUCAAGUCAAGGGUGAAAUCCCCGCGCUCAACGUGGGAACUGCAUUUGAAACUGGCAAACUGGAGUGUGGGAGAGGAUAGUGGAAUUCCAGGUGUAGGAGUGAAAUGCGUAGAUAUCUGGAGGAACAUCAGUGGCGAAGGCGACUAUCUGGCACAUAACUGACGCUGAGGAGCGAAAGCGUGGGUAGCAAACAGGAUUAGAUACCCGUGUAGUC